rnacentral:ncRNA from 1 species
GGAAAAGAUCUUUAAGCUCAUCAAGUCCAACCAUGAACCCAACACUGACCAGUCCCCUAUGACUAACCCAUGUCCCUCAGCACUGUGUCUACACGACUCUUCAAUCCCUCCAGGGAUGGGGACUCCACCACUGCCCUGGGCAACCCCUUCCAAUGCCUCAGAACCCUUGCAGCAAAGAAAUUCUUCCUCACAUCCAAUCGAAAUCUCUCUGAUCUGUCAAAGUGUAACGCAGGUGUCCUAAGGCGAGCUCAGGGAGGAUGGAUGGAAACCUCCCGCAGAGCAGAAAAGCAAAAGCUCGCCUGAUCUUGAUUUUCAGUACGAAUACAGACCGUGAAAGCGGGGCCUCACGAUCCUCCUGGCUUUUGGGGUUUGAAGCAGGAGGUGUCAGAAAAGUUACCACAGGGAUAAGUGGCUUGUGGUGGCCAAGUGUUCAUAGCGACGUCGCUUUUUGAUCCUUCGAUGUCGGCUCUUCCUACCACUGUGAAGCAGAAUUCACCAAGCGUUGGAUUGUUCACCCACUAACAGGGAUCGUGAGCUGGGUUUAGAUCAUCGUGAGACAGGUUAGUUUUACCC